AGCAGCCGCGGUAAUUCCAGCUCCAAUAGCGUAUAUUAAAGUUGUUGCAGUUAAAAAGCUCGUAGUUGAAUUUCGAGACCGGUUUAUUGGCCGUGCUUUUGUACGUACUGGUAUUAUUGGUUUCUCCUUUCUGACGAAUCUUAAUGCCAUUAAUUUGGUGUUUUGGGGAAUCAGGACUGUUACUUUGAAAAAAUUAGAGUGUUUAAAGCAGGCUCACGCUUGAAUACAUUAGCAUGGAAUAACGAAAUAGGACGUUUGAUUUUAUUUUGUUGGUUUCUAGGAUCGACGUAAUGAUUAAUAGGGAUAGUUGGGGGCAUUAGUAUUCAAUUGACAGAAGUGAAAUUCUUGGAUUUAUUGAAGACUAACUACUGCGAAAGUAUUUGCCAAGGAUGUUUUUCAUUAAUCAAGAACGAAAGUUAG
rnacentral:rRNA from 1 species